rnacentral:rRNA from 1 species
UACGUAGGGGGCUAGCGUUGUCCGGAAUCAUUGGGCGUAAAGCGCGCGUAGGCGGCCCGGUAAGUCCGCUGUAAAAGUCCAGGGCUCAACCCUGGAAAGCCGGUGGAUACUGUCGGGCUCGAGUCCGGAAGAGGCGAGUGGAAUUCCUGGUGUAGCGGUGGAAUGCGCAGAUAUCCGGAGGAACACCGGUGGCGAAGGCGGCUUCCUGGACCGACACUGACGCUGAGGCGCGAAAGCUAGGGGAGCAAACGGG